ACUCUCAAAAUGAUGCUGACGCCCAUGGCUACUUCUAAACCUCAUGGGGCCGCCGCAUUUCUGCCCCGUGGUGACCUGCGCUGGGAAAGAGGGAAACAGCAUGGAUGGGAAAAGUAUGUGGGAGAGCGAGCAUUAAGAGUUCAUAACCUACACACACUUCGUUUGGUAAUGUGUCUCCUCACUUUCAUAGGGAAUACUUUCAGACCUGGCAACCCUGUAUUUGACACUUCCGACUCGGAGGUCGGAGAUACAGACUCGGAAUAAAAAAUGGAAAGCGGUGCUUUUUCUUGUAAACGCAGCUUUCGUUAGCGACGUUGAUGGACCACCCCCUGUAUGGAAUUACGCCUUGACCUUCAUCAAUCGCCUGUCAAUCAAAAUGUGACAUCCUUGGUUACGGCGCUGACAAGUGACGUCCAUUGUUUUAGAAGUUGGCGCUUCCCUCAGACGUCUCCUCAGAUCCAUCUGUCAUUUCUCUCUGACCUCCAUAGUCUAUUUGUCUACUUGUUUGCCUCUCGUCUCAUUGCCUGUUGUCCAUCUGUCUGUUCGUCUUCCUGUACUGUAUAUUUAUUGUCUGUCUGCCUUGUCCUAUGGUCCUUCUCUGUGCCCGCCAUUUCUGGCCAGCCCCAACAGUUCUUUUAAGAACCAAAGUUCUGCUAUCAAGUAAGUUUAACAUUUGAACAUAGUCAUGUUUAAUUAAGUAUUGUCAUAAUCCAAUAAUAAUAAAAUCUCAAGCCCAUGUCUGCCUUGUCAAACUGCCUUUAACAUAGUUUGGUUGCCAGAAAGAUAAACUUUCUUUUCAGAUGGCCGGUUCUACCAAAAAGAGCUGCACCUCCUGCAAAGGCCACAUCAGGGUGGCAUACAAAAAGUGUCCCUUGUGUGGAGCAGUCUAGCCCAUGAAAAGUAAAUUGGAGUCACAGAAGAAACGCUAUGACACCCAGUGGGCAGCAACGACUCUUAAGUGAAAUAACAUCCCCAAAGUCCUUAACUCUGCCAAUUUAAUGGUACACAAAUUAGAUAAGCUUGGGUUUAUCCCCUUGCUUUUCCUCGGACGCAAGUCCAAAAUGUCCUGUGGCUGGUCUGAGGUGGUGUGUCCUUAGGAAUUCAUGGAUGUGAAUGGGACAGCUAUCAAAACCAUAAAGGAAAUUUUUGACAGUGCUUUGACAACAGAAGCUGGGGACAUCUGCCCCCCCACUCCUGCAGAAGCUGAGGACAUCUGCCCCCCCACACCUGUAUUUGUAAGAGAUGCUGCUCUCCAGAGAAAUACAGAAAAAGAUAUAUGAAACUGUACAAGAUAAAAUCAGAAGGGGUUUUAAUCGCCAUGAAAGUUUGCACAGACAAGGAAUUUACUUUGGCAGGCAGGAAUUUACCCAUAGAUACACAUAUUUCAAAUAUAUUGGUCUCACUCACUUCAGUAUAAUAUAAUAUCUGCAGUUUGUACAGUGACCACGUUCAUUGCAUGAGACAUGUAUAAAUGCUAGUCACUGCAUAGUUAAGUUGUUUAAGAUUUGUCAAAUCUGUCUAUUUAUGACACAACAGCUGAUUGCGAAGCUUGCUGCUGAUUAGGUGGACUAAUUCCACUAGACACACCAUUGUAAUACAGGAAGUACUGUUGUUGUAAUGGAUGCAUUUGGCUUUACACUUCCUCUUUAGGGGCCCACUGUUCCGGCUCAUUCUAAACAUGCAAUCCAGGGAAGGAAGAGAAACCGGCCUAUAAAAAUUGGUUCAACCAAUCCCCCCCAAAAAGAAAGGUUCAAUAAGCAUACACAUUCUUGGUUAAACUGAUGUUUGUCUCCCAUAGAUACCAGACGGCAUUAUUUGAAGUAGAUUUAUACUCUUAUUGGAACCUAAUAAGACCACCUCCCACAGUGGACAGACUGACAUUGUUUAGAUUUCAGAGUUAGUGUUAGACAAGAGGCCAUGUUUAGGGAUAGGGAGUAAUUAAAGACACGUUACUCUAUAAUCAUCACCAAAAUGUACAUUAUUUACCCUAUUGUGUCAUAAUACUAAAUAGAACACCACCAAAGAUAAGUCUUUAUUUAAUUUUGUAUACCUUUUUUGUAGUUUGCCGUGUACAUGCAAAUAAUAAGGUGUUUCUCUUUCAAGAAGUAGUAAGCAACAGGAAAAAUUAGGUAAAAUGUUUUGGGGUUUCUUAAAUACUUAAAACAUCAAUGGAUGUUCAUACAUUUACCAGAUCAAAACCUUUUUCUUCCAUGUGAUUUGUUUAUGUUAAAUGCUUAGGACAUGGAGAAGUCCUUGUGCGGUGGCAACCUUAUGGUUACGUUAUGGUUGGUAAGUAAUUCCUGUAAAGUAUGUAAACUGUCUAAAUAGCUGUGUGUCUUUAUCUGUAUACUUUAUUUUAUAUGUACAGUAUGCUGGCAUAUCUGAGUAGGGGACAUGCAGCGUUUUACAGCGGCGAACAAUGGGAUGACACCUGGGAGCCUUCAGCCAAUUUUCCAAAAGUCAAGUGAUUAAUAAUGUGCGUGCGUGGUUUGGUUUUGUGAUGACAGUAUUUCAGUAAUUAGACAAUCAUGUUCAUUAAAAGUAUGUAAACAAUGAAGGACAGCUGUGAACAUUAAACAGUGUUCUAUCACAUUAAAUGUGAUAAAACAUUUAUUUACAUUAACUGAAGAUGAAACAUUUAGGAAGAAACAAAGGCAGUGAUCAGCAGAUAAGGGCGGCCGGGGGCCCAGUCCAAGUUCUCACCAAGGAUGGACAGGAAAGUGAUAUGUUCUGAAUGUUAUUAGUCCGGACUACCUUUUUGCCUGACAUGCAAUUGUUACAAUGUGUUGCUGUCAAUGCUGUCGUUUUGAAGGUUAUGGCUCUGUCUGAUAUGACGAGGAUCUCUGACCUCACAGUCCAUUCGUAACAUAGUGGACGUCUUUCUGUGUCCCCAACCCAGUCUCCCAUACUUCUGCGUAUCUAUGACACAGUGACACGUUUACACAUCUAUUUUGCGUGCCAUAUAUACGCCAAAUAUAUAGGCUGAUAUAUAGGCCCGGUUCUUGUCAGCUCUGGAAGGGCGGUCUGGCAGCUUUCUUGAAUUAUCCAGAUUUCUUUUGAAAAAUUCUGAUUUAACUCUGUAUAACUCCAGACAACUAUCUAAAUAAUUACCACACACGUUAAUAUCUAUUAGUGACCUUCGUAAAAUCCGAGUUUGGAUGAUGACGUAAAAUGAUGAGCGUUGAUGAAGUUCUGCGUGUGAUUUGGCACCUCACAGUACAUUAGUUACAUAGUGUACGUCUUUCUGUGUCCCUUGAUUUCGUAUACUAUGUUACGAAACACCGAACCGCAAGGUGGCGCUUCACCCGAAAUGUCACCUUAAAUGUGUGUAGCUUAUCGUUACGCCUAUUCGUAACAUAGUGUACGUCUCUCUGUGUACCUCAAUUUCGUAUACUAUGUCACAAAAAACCGAACCGCAAGGUGGCGCUUCACCCAAAAUGUCACCUUAAAUGUGUGUAGCUUAUCGUUACGCCUAUUCGUAACAUAGUGUACGUCUUUCUGUGUCCCUCGAUUUCGUAUACUAUGUCACGAAAAAACAAACCACAAGGUGGCGCUUCACCCGAAAUGUCACCUUAAAUGUGUGUAGCUUAUCGUUACGCCUAUUCGUAACAUAGUGAAUGUCUUUCUGUGUCCCUCGAUUUCUUAUACCAUGUCACAAAAAAACAAACGCUUCAGCCGAAAGGUCACCUGAUAUUUGUGUAGCUUAUCCCAACGGAACCCCGAGUUAGCUGAAAGCUAAUGAUAGCUAACUGUCGUUCUUUAAAACUAACGAGAUUCCAAACAAUCGUAAAACGAAGAAAUCUGAUAUUUUCUAACAACUUGUGUUUAGUUAUGCGAAAUUACACAUGAUGACAAACCAAACCGGCUAAAUAUAGCUACCAACUCUUGCCAUACACCAUGAUAUAAGUAGGCCUAGCCUACACAAAAGGU